AAUGGGGGAUAACGUAGCGAAAGUUACGCUAAUACCGCAUAUGCCCUGAGGGGGAAAGGGGGGGAUCGCAAGACCUAUCGUUUUCGGAGUGGCCGAUAUCAGAUUAGCUAGUUGGUGGGGUAAAGGCCUACCAAGGCGACGAUCUGUAGCUGGUCUGAGAGGACGACCAGCCACACUGGGACUGAGACACGGCCCAGACUCCUACGGGAGGCAGCAGUGGGGAAUUUUGGACAAUGGGGGCAACCCUGAUCCAGCCAUGCCGCGUGAGUGAAGAAGGCCUUCGGGUUGUAAAGCUCUUUCGGACGGAAAGAAAUCGCCAUUCCUAAUACCAGUGGUGGAUGACGGUACCGUAAGAAGAAGCACCGGCUAACUACGUGCCAGCAGCCGCGGUAAUACGUAGGGUGCGAGCGUUAAUCGGAAUUACUGGGCGUAAAGCGUGCGCAGGCGGUUUUGUAAGACAGACGUGAAAUCCCCGGGCUUAACCUGGGAACUGCGUUUGUGACUGCAAGGCUAGAGUACGGCAGAGGGGGGUAGAAUUCCA
rnacentral:rRNA from 1 species